CUUUGACAGCAGUAAGGGAACCGAACCGAAAAAAUAAGCAACAAAGGAGACUGGGGGCUGGGAUAAAAGGUGUCACCACAACUUUGAUAUGUGAAAGUGAACACUGAUGUUUGUCACUCAAGUGAAAGGCUUUAAGGACCGCAAAAAAGUGGUUUAUGACGACAGAUGAACGCAAGAAUUUCUUACACAAAAGAUGUGAAUUUUAUCAAUUUAUACGUUAGCCACAACUAUGAAUUGUCAACAUGAAUGAGCUUUGAUAAGAAUGUAAUCAGCAGGGCGCAAAUACCCUUCCAAGUUUUAUGCCAUAAUUACAGUUAGAGGAAACGGAAAAAAAAUGAAUCAAUCAAUCAAUCAAUACACAGCAGCUGUGAACGAGAACUUUUCAACUCCCCACGGAAAUUCACGGUGAAAUACAUCAAAUUUUGUGUGUCAACAGCAGCCACCACUGAUGUACCUGUAUUAUGUAAAAUAAAGAAUUUCUUUUAA
rnacentral:sRNA from 1 species